GGCGCGUUGGCAGAGUGGUUUAUGCGGCGGAUUGCAAAUCCGUAUAUCUCGGUUCAAUUCCGAGACGCGUCU
rnacentral:tRNA from 2 species